GUUUACCGAUACCAAUUCAUCAGGAGUUGCGUUCAUUUCCAUUUGAUGCGUCGUUUUAUGAGUUCUUUUUAACGAUAUUCAGACAUUUUCAUAUAUUAAUCGAUUUCAGAUGGCUAAAACAUAUGAAAAUAAGCCUAUUUAUUAUGAAAUGCGCUAUUAUUUAUUUAUUUCAUGGACAGCUAAUAAAAGUCCAAUUCUGAUGAUUCAAUAAAAAGGAUGCCAGGCGCAGAAAAAAAGGAUUCGGAGUUCCCCUUCCUCAGAAAAUGAUGGAUACGUACAUAAUUCAACACAAUAUUUGUCAAAUAUAUACAUAUUUUUUAUUGAUUUUAAUAAAAUCAAAUUAAAUGUUU